GGUACGCAGCCGGCGUACGGAGGCGCCGUACUGAGCCGCCGUACGGAGCCGCCAUUACGCACGCGCAGUAGGCAGUACGCAGCCGCCGUACGCAGCCGCCGUCCGCAGCCGCCGUACGGAGCCGCCGUCCGCAGCCGCCGUACGGAGCCGCACGCGCAGUAAGCAGUACGCAGCCGCCGUACGGAGCCGACGUACGGCGUACGCACCAAGAAGUGGGAAUUCUGCCUAUACAGCCGCGUUUACUUAAAUAGAAGCCACCAGUGCUCAGGAUGAAGCAUGGGAUGGAGAGGCAUUAACUCCAGCAAAAGGGCUGCGUGGGGCACGGAGCCUUCCUUGGCCAGAGGAAGAUGAGGGGACCCCCAAUGUUUCCUGAACCCCACAAGCUGCCAGCAUUGGGCACAGCAGCGUCUGGGCCACCUCCUGCCACCGAGUGAUGUUCAAUUGUUCAGAACAGAAAAUGGAAAUGAAUACAAGUUAAACUCCCCCGGCA